CUGACUGCUGGAAGGGAGGCUGAAAAUGAUGGAAUGAAAUGAUAUUUAGGGAUUCUUCGAAGAGCUCAAUUUCCUUCUCUCUGCUGGAUCCUUACUAAUAUGAGGCAUCUUUUGAAAACUUCCAUCCAGAGAUUGGAAGAAUUGCUCCAGGGAAAUGGACCAGCCAAGAAGGAAGAUCCAGAUAUCAUAUCAAGAGAUUGCCAACAAGAUGAUGGCCCAACCAGAUCAUUCUACCAUGAAGCCCACAGAUG